rnacentral:rRNA from 1 species
UAGAGUUUGAUCCUGGCUCAGGAUGAACGUUGGCGGUGUGCCUAAUACAUGCAAGUCGAACGGAGAUAAUAGCAAUAUUGUCCUAGUGGCGAACGGGUGAGUAACGCGUUGGUGACCUGCCCCGAAGAGGGGGACAACAGUUCGAAAGGACUGCUAAUACCCCAUGUGGUCUCUGAGAUUAGACGCUUGGAGACUAAAGGAGCAAUCCACUUCGGGAGGGACCUGCGUCCCAUCAGCUAGUUGGUAAGGUAACGGCCUACCAAGGCGAUGACGGGUAGGGGGCCUGAGAGGGUGGCCCCCCACACUGGCACUGAAACACGGGCCAGACACCUACGGGUGGCAGCAGUAGGGAAUAUUGCACAUGGGCGAAAGCCUGACGCAGCAACACCGCGUGGAGGAUGAAGGCCUUCGGGUUGUAAACUCCUUUUCUGGGGGAAGAGAAAGGACGGUAUCCCAGGAAUAAGUCUCGGCUAACUACGUGCCAGCAGCCGCGGUAAAACGUAGGAGGCAAACGUUAUCCGGAUUUAUUGGGCGUAAAGCGCAUGCAGGCGGUUUUUUAAGUCGGACGUGAAAGCUCCUGGCUCAACUGGGAGAGGUCGUUCAAAACUUCCGGACUAGAGGACGGUAGAGGGGAGUGGAAUUCCCGGUGUAGUGGUGAAAUGCGUAGAUAUCGGGAGGAACACCAGUGGCGAAAGCGGCUCUCUGGGCCAUUCCUGACGCUCAGAUGCGAAAGCUAGGGGAGAGAACGGGAUUAGAAACCCCGGUAUUCCUAGCUGUAAACGAUGUGAACUUGGCGUUGGUGGGGUAAAAUCCAUCAGUGCCGUAGCUAACGCGAUAAGUUCACCGCCUGGGGACUACGGCCGCAAGGCUAAAACUCAAAGGAAUUGACGGGGACCCGCACAAGCAGCGGAGCGUGUGGUUUAAUUCGAGGCUACGCGAAGAACCUUACCUGGGCUUGACAUAUAGGUGGUAGGAAUUCGAAAGAGGACCGACCCUUCGGGGAGCCUAUACAGGUGUUGCAUGGCUGUCGUCAGCUCGUGCCGUGAGGUGUCCGGUUAAGUCCGGUAACGAGCGCAACCCUUACCGUAUGUUACAAGUGUCAUACGGGACUGCCGGUAUAAAGCCGGGGGAAGGUGGGGACGACGUCAAGUCAGCAUGACCUUUAUGUCCAGGGCUACACACACGCUACAAUGGUCGGUACAAUAGGUCGCAAAACCGCGAGGUGGAGCCAAUCCUCAAAGCCGAUCUCAGUUCGGAUUGCAGGCUGCAACUCGCCUGCAUGAAGUCGGAGUUGCUAGUAACCGCGCGUCAGCAACAGUGCGGUGAAUACGUUCCCGGGUCUUGUACACACCGCCCGUCACGUCAUGGAAGCUGGCAACACCUAAAGUCGGUAUCCUAACCCUCACGGGAGGGAGCCGCCAAAGGUGGGGUUGGUAACUGGGACGAAGUCGUAACAAGGUAGGUA